UACGUAGGGGGCAAGCGUUGUCCGGAAUCAUUGGGCGUAAAGAGCGCGUAGGCGGCCCUGUAAGUCCGCUGUGAAAGUCAAGGGCUCAACCCUUGGAUGCCGGUGGAUACUGCAGGGCUAGAGUCCGGAAGAGGCGAGUGGAAUUCCUGGUGUAGCGGUGAAAUGCGCAGAUAUCAGGAGGAACACCGGUGGCGAAGGCGGAUCUCUGGGCCAUUACUGACGCUGAGGAGCGAAAGCGUGGGGAGCGAACAGG
rnacentral:rRNA from 1 species